GUUUCUUUAUCCAUUCAUCUACUAAAGAGCAUCUAGGUUGGUUCCACAGCUUAGCUAUUGUGGAUUGUGCUGAUGUAGCUGCAUCACUGUAGUAUUCUGUUUUUAAGUCCUUUGAGUAUAGACCAAAAAGUGGAAUAGCUGGGUCAAAUGGUGGUUCCAUUCCAAGGAAUCUCCAUACUACUUCCCAGACUAGUUGCACCAAUUUACAGUCCCACCAGCAAUGAAAAAAGUGGGCCUUUUCCCCCACAUCCUUGCCAACACUUAUUUUUUUUUCUUGUAUUCUUGAUAACUGCAAUUCUGACUAGAGUGAGAUGAAAUCUUAGAGUAGUUUUGAUUUGCAUUUCUCUAAUUGCUAGAGAUAUUGAAUAUUUUUUUCAUAUAUUUGUUGAUCAAUUGUAUAUCUUCUGAGAAGUGUCUGUUUAAUUCCUUGGCCCAUUUAUUGAUUGGGUUAUCUUUUUUGGGGGGUGUUAAGUUUUUUGAGUUCUUUAUAUAUCCUAGAGAUUAGUGCUCUAUCUGAUGUGCAUGUGGUAAANUCCUGAU
rnacentral:lncRNA from 1 species